UCACAGUGAAGAAAGCCAAGCUGGAUGGAUCCCAAGAGAAGUUCAACACGUACUUGACCCUGAAGGUGCAGAAUGUGAAGAGCACCACCAUCGCUGUCAGGGGCAGCAUGCCUAGUUGGGAGCAGGACUUCAUGUUUGAGAUCAACAGGCUGGACCUGGGGCUGACGGUGGAGGUGUGGAAUAAAGGGUUAAUAUGGGACAUCAUGGUGGGAACAGUGUGGAUCCCCCUGCACAGCAUCCGCCAAUCAAACGUGGUACACUACACCCCCCCAAUUCUCAUACU